UACGAAGGGGGCUAGCGUUGCUCGGAAUCACUGGGCGUAAAGCGCACGUAGGCGGAUCUUUAAGUCGGGGGUGAAAUCCCAAGGCUCAACCUUGGAACUGCCUUUGAUACUGGGGAUCUCGAGUCCGGAAGAGGUUGGUGGAACUGCGAGUGUAGAGGUGAAAUUCGUAGAUAUUCGCAAGAACACCAGUGGCGAAGGCGGCCAACUGGACGAGUACUGACGCUGAGACACGAAAGCGUGGGGAGCAAACAGGG
rnacentral:rRNA from 1 species